UGCAGUCGAACGAUGAAGCCCAGCUUGCUGGGUGGAUUAGUGGCGAACGGGUGAGUAACACGUGAGUAACCUGCCCCCGACUCUGGGAUAAGCCCGGGAAACUGGGUCUAAUACCGGAUAUGACCUCGCACCGCAUGGUGCGGGGUGGAAAGAUUUAUCGGUGGGGGAUGGACUCGCGGCCUAUCAGCUUGUUGGUGAGGUAAUGGCUCACCAAGGCGACGACGGGUAGCCGGCCUGAGAGGGUGACCGGCCACACUGGGACUGAGACACGGCCCAGACUCCUACGGGAGGCAGCAGUGGGGAAUAUUGCACAAUGGGCGAAAGCCUGAUGCAGCGACGCCGCGUGAGGGAUGACGGCCUUCGGGUUGUAAACCUCUUUCAGUAGGGAAGAAGCGAAAGUGACGGUACCUGCAGAAGAAGCGCCGGCUAACUACGUGCCAGCAGCCGCGGUAAUACGUAGGGCGCAAGCGUUAUCCGGAUUUAUUG
rnacentral:rRNA from 1 species